UGAAGGCCCAAACAUCUCAAAGAUCCACCCGUCGGUCAGAAGCAGAGGGUGCAUGCUGGUAGUAGUCAGUUCGGUUUAGUUGUGUUUCCGUGGCAUGGUUCGGUCUGGACUUUUGCAAUGCGGUAGUAGUUUUAAGUUGGUGGCUGAUCGAUGAUGUAGUCUAGUUAGUUGGUUAAUUACUAGUUACUGUUGAAUGUUGAUGUAGUGGCGCUAGCGCUUAAGGUUCAACUUAAACUGUUGGUCAUGUAUAUUUCUGUUGGUCAUGUAUUGUGUGCAUGGUUCAGUUGGUGCUAGAUGAGAUGACCACCGAGUAAAUUAGUUGCAAGUUCAAUUAAGCAGGUUUACAUUUUUCGAUCUAAUGGUUUAUGGUUGUAUGCAUGUUGUGUGUGUUGUAGCAAAUUGAGUCCGUAAUUUGUUAUGUGAGUGGCUGGCUACCGACGCAGGAACUUGCUAGACACGUGAACAAACAUAUAGCCAUGCAUGCACAGACUAUAUAUGUCAGACUUGUCCAUUAUCAUAUGUGCCAAAACAUCUAAAAUGUGUACGGAUGGAGUACGUACUACUGUGCCUGGUCAUUCUGUAAAUCUGAAAUCAUUUAAUCGUCGUGCCGGUGUACUAGCUUAGUAUCACUAGUUGGCCACAUUCGGGCACCACCCGGGGCUUUGAUCUGAGCCCCCUCCCACAGGCGCUAUAUAAUUCUUGUACAGCGUCAAAAUAGCCUCCUCUUUUACAGCGUCAAAAUAGUCUUUUUCGCGUGAGGACUAUUUUCGCGUGAGGUUUUCUAGAUGCACAAAGAGGUUUACUAGAUACACAAAUGCAUAAAAAUAUGACGCCCAAUCCGCGGCACCAAAUUUUGGGGCGGAAGUAGGGCUGGAAUUCGGGCCCAGUCAAGCCAGCUCGGCUCGUUUCGUUAAUGAGCAAGCUCGACUCGAUUCGUUACUAUAACGAGCUCAAACCCAAGAUUAGCUCGACUUGUAUAACUCGCGAGCUGGCUCGUUUAACUUGUUAAGUUCGUUUAAGAUAUAAACAUAAAGCCCUUAAAUAUGAUAAAAAAUAAUUAUGUAUAUAUUAAACAUAUAUAUCACUAAACAAUUGUAAUCUUCUUGUAACGCGUGAGUCUCUUAGGAGGCUAGGCCUUCAACUGCUCGGCCUUGGGUUGUGCGCCUGGGACAUAGGCUGUUUAGUGGCUGAUCUUUCUUUGUAUUAGGAGUGGCUGAUCUACUGUAUCGAGCUUAAUGAGUUACACGAGUACUCGUGAGAUUGACUCGUUUAACUUGGUCCAUAAACGAUCUUAAAAUAAAAUUCGGCUCGACUCGUUAUUCUUCGAGUUCGGGUCGAUUCGAGUCGAGUCACGAGCUACUUGUUUAGCUCGCGAGCUUCGAGUUUUUUUUCCAGCUCUAGGCGGAAGCGACGAAGAGAUUUUUCGGAUGAAAAAACAUCGUCGCCAAUUAGGCAGCAGCGCUAGCACAAAAACGGCGCCCAAUCCGGCGGCCUAACCUAUCCGACACCCUAAAUUUGCAUCCUAGCAGCACGUGCGGUAAAGUUUCUUAGUGCAGCGGCUCUGUUUUAACAACUGUCUGAGGAAUGUUUUUGUCUUCGACGCAUAAAAACAAUGGUUUUUAACGCGUGAGGUAUUUUUUGGGUCUCUCUGACGCAUAAAAACGAUGAUUUUUAACGCAUGAGGUAUUUUUUAGGCGCCUAUUAAAGAUGCUCUUAGAACAGCCGGGCGCCCAAUACCUGCAUGGUCCAGUCUGAUCGGUCAAAAAACAACAACCUACCCAUACGCCCGAUUGGACAAAAAAAUGACGGAUGCCUCAAGCCGAUCUUAAACCCCGUCUAAAUUGAAGCACAUAUGGGGAGGUCAGACCCGGCACAGUCUAAAUAUGAAGCGGAUAUGGGGAGAUCGGACCCGACCAACGUUGGUGGGAGGAGGCCCGGGCGCGUCCUUCAUGUCGGACCCGGCCCACCCGAUCCCACAUAUAGUCAUCCUCAUCCACUCCUUGGAUCAAACCCUAGCCACUCCACUCCGUCCCCUCCACUACACUCCGCUCUGUCCGGCGAUCUCUGGCAUGGCGGGCAGCGAAUUCGAGUCCUACACCUUCAUAUUCAUCAACCCCGAGCUCACCCAUGUGGUCCCGAGGAGGACAUGACUGCCUGGCUUACGCUCCACCGCUUUUGGGAGGAGGCCGCCCGACAACAGCGCCCAGACUCCUUUUGCAGGGAAUCCAUUGCGUCCACCCAAAUGAUGCAUGGAUCCGCCGCGAGGUGUGGCAUCACUGCCUCAUUGGAGGUGGUGCAGUUCGUGUGGCAUCUGAACAUGGUGGCGGACGCGCAAUCCCUCCGUUGGCACGCCGAGGCGGAGGUGAACGCACCAUGGAUGCAGGGUGAUGCAAUCGUGGCAGCGGGUGCGGGAGACGGCGGCAACCCUCGCGGUGGUGGACGUUGCUGAGGCGGAGUCUCAUUUUCCGGCGCCCCGUAUGAUGCACAAGUCCUGGGGCCGCAACCGCGUCAUGAUGGAUGUCGUCGGCUUGUCACAACACGGAUCCAUUAUCGAUCUGACAUCUACCAGCACCAUCAGAGUUCGGGGCUCUGACGAGGAAGAGUAGGGCAUAGGAGACGGCGACACCUUGAGUCUCAUGAGCCGGCUUGUGCCCCAUGUCCUACUCUACCUCGUCAUCGACCGAACCAACACUCUGAGGAUUGCAUCCGGCCGUUGGGUAUGGGCAAGGCGCAGCCAGACCAGCCCCGCCAAAUAUUAGGCUUAUGUUGCAUGUAAUAGUAUGAAUUUGAGGUACCUAGUUGUGGAAUGAAUUAUUUGACGCCCGGUCACUAUUCGCAGCUGCGGGCGUUUGAGGGUUCGAAUUUACUAAGUUCGGAUGUAGAUGCUCGUAAGAUGUACGGUUCUAUGUCUGAAUGAUGUCAUUUUUAAGUUGAUAACCAAGGUUAUUAAUAAUAGGGUUAUUAUUUCAACCGAAAGAACUGUAACCCUGUACAAACAACAUUUAUCAAAGAAAGAUAUAUACUUUAGUAGUUAUCUAUACCUACUAAUAAAGCAAGCUGCGUUUCGGCAAUUUUUUCAUCCUUUCAGCGCUGAUUUUUUUUUAUUAGAGGUGGUACUAAAUUCUUAUGCGUUCGUCUGCUAGAAAAAAAUGUUUUUCCAGAAUUUCGUACGUGGGUCGCGCGUUGUGGCCCGGGGAAGCCAGCCCAUUUAUUUUUCUGCCCACGCAGCUAGAAAAAUUCUAUUUUUUGCACAGGGCCAGAAAUAGUCAGAGCUUCGCAUAGGACAACCACUAAUGGGCUGGCCCAUUUCUCUUUGUUUCUGUGGUUUAAUUCUUUUUUUUUCUCCUUCCCCUAUCUCUUUCUACCCUUCCAAGUUUAUUUUCUUUCAUAAUAUAUUUCAUAAAUUCAAAAAUCCCAAAAAACAUUCAGAACUAAAAAAAUGAAAAAUGUUCAGAAUUCCAAAUUUUUGUUGCUAUUUUGAAAAAUAUUCAGACCUUGAAAAAAAGUACCCCCUUUUUUGUAAAAAAUAUUGUUUUUCAAAAUAGUUCGAGAUUUCUAAAAACUAAAUAGCAUUAUCAAAGGUGCUCCAAUUCAAAAUAUAUUCUUGUUUUAGUGAAAUUUCAGAAUUCAGAAUAAUGUUCCCGUAUAAAAGAUAAAGAUUUUCGAAAAAUGUUAUGAAUUUUUAACACAUGUUUCCGUUAUAAAAAAAUGUUCAAAAAUUCAAAUAAUGUCCAUGUUUUUUAGAAGGUGUUUUCAAAAAAUAUUCGUGAAUUGGAAAAGAUGUUCAUGUUUCAAAUAUUGUUCGCGUUUUGCUGAAAGUGUAUGUAAUUUUCAGAAACCUGUUCAGGAUUUAAAAAUUGCUUUAUGUGUUCUACAAUAUUCAGAAAAUUCAUACCUUAAAAUCUCCUCGAUUGAAAGAAAAAGUAGAUUGAAUAAUUCGUGGGCGUUCUUUGGCGUACGAUGAAGUAACGAAACUCUUAAAUGUCCUCGAUUAACAAAUAAAAAUAUGGCAGAUUGAUUACUUCACACCAGCGAAACCGAGAAGCUAAAUGUUCAUUUUUCACGUGCAGACAAAGGUGAUGAUCAAUAUACCUACCUACUAAUGAAGCAAGAUGCGUUUCGCCAAUUUUUUCAUCCGUUCACCGCAAAAAAUAUUUUUUUCCUAUCAGAGGUGGUAGUAAAUUCUUAUGUCUUCAUCUUUUUUUUUUGAGACAAUCUCGCAUGCUUUUAUUCAUAGCCCAUAAUGUUUACAGGAAUAAACUCAAGGUUUCCUGGUUGACCUAGCCAUACAUGAUGACCAAAAUUUAAAGACAAAGCAUAUCUAGCGAGAUUGUGAGCCUCGAAAUUCGAGCUCCUGAACUCAUGAACUACUUUACAUGAAGAGAAAGCGUUUGCACGAAGUAUUAUUUCAUGCACAAUGGCGCCGUAACCAGCCGCCGAGUUUUUCUGGACAUCUUCAACCACCCUCUUGCAAUCUGUUGCUAUUUGAAUGGAGUUCUCAUAUAGAUCCUCGGCCAACGAUUGGCCUUCCCUUACUGCUAUUGCCUCUAGUGUGCUUACAUCCGUGAUGAACUCAAGUUUUAAGAUCGAAGCACCCAAAAAGCGUCCUUGUUGGUCUCGGCACACUGCUCCCACUGCUCCAAACUCCCCUUGCAAGGACACUGUUGCAUCCACAUUCAUCUUUGCAUGCCCCUCCGGCGGAGGCAACCAUGAGUGUUGCCCCAAGCUAGCUUGCUUCGUAGCAUUGCCAGCUCCUCUGUCGAUCAUCUUCAAGUCCCUCAAAAAGGAGAGUAUGAAAGAGUUAGUAGUAAAAGGGCUAUCAAAAAUCUCUUCAUGUAUUGCUCUCCUUCUUGCUCGCCAAACUGCCCAGAGUGUCACCACCAUCCGUAUAAAUUCCCCUUGAGGCAAAGAUUCAUCCCACGUAAAAAUCCAGUUUUUUUCAUCCAACGAAAGAUUACCCAACAUUGCAUCCACAGUCUCCUCUGAGCAGAGUGACCAUACACUCCUGGCCAUCACACAGUCCACUAGUGCAUGCUUCCAGUCAUCUUGCGCAGAACAAAAAGCGCAACUUAUGUCUUCAUCUGCUAUAAAAAAAGAUUUUCCAGGAUUUCAUACGUGGGGCUGCGCGCUGUUACCCAGCAAAGCCAGCCCACUUAUUUUUGUGCCAAAGCAGCUGCCAAAAUUAUAUUUUCCGCACAUGGCCAAAACGUUGGAUUCUCGCACAGGACGACCAAUAAUGGACUGACCAUUUUUAUUUGUUUCUGUGUUUUACUUCUAUUUUUAUUCUCUGUCCCCUAUUUCCUUUUUCCCUUUCAAGUUUAUUUUUCUCAUAGAAUUUAUUUCAUAAACUAAAAAUUCACAUAAAAUGUCCAGAACUAAAAAAAAA
rnacentral:lncRNA from 1 species